GAUGAACGCUAGCUACAGGCUUAACACAUGCAAGUCGAGGGGCAGCAUGGUCUUAGCUUGCUAAGGCCGAUGGCGACCGGCGCACGGGUGAGUAACACGUAUCCAACCUGCCGUCUACUCUUGGACAGCCUUCUGAAAGGAAGAUUAAUACAAGAUGGCAUCAUGAGUCCGCAUGUUCACAUGAUUAAAGGUAUUCCGGUAGACGAUGGGGAUGCGUUCCAUUAGAUAGUAGGCGGGGUAACGGCCCACCUAGUCUUCGAUGGAUAGGGGUUCUGAGAGGAAGGUCCCCCACAAUGGAACUGAGACACGGUCCAAACACCUACGGGAGGCAGCAGUGAGGAAUAUUGGUCAAUGGGAGCAGGCCUGAACCAGCCAAGUAGCGUGAAGGAUGACUGCCCUAUGGGUUGUAAACUUCUUUUAUAAAGGAAUAAAGUCGGGUAUGUAUACCCGUUUGCAUGUACUUUAUGAAUAAGGAACGGCUAACUCCGUG
rnacentral:rRNA from 1 species